AUCUAGCCAUGGGCAGGUUGAAGGUUGGGUAACACUAACUGGAGGACCGAACCGACUAAUGUUGAAAAAUUAGCGGAUGACCUGUGGCUGGGGGUGAAAGGCCAAUCAAACCGGGAGAUAGCUGGUUCUCCCCGAAAGCUAUUUAGGUAGCGCCUCGUGAAUUCAUCUCCGGGGGUAGAGCACUGUUUCGGCUAGGGGGCCAUCCCGGCUUACCAACCCGAUGCAAACUGCGAAUACCGGAGAAUGUUAUCACGGGAGACACACGGCGGGUGCUAACGUCCGUCGUGAAGAGGGAAACAACCCAGACCGCCAGCUAAGGUCCCAAAGUCAUGGUUAAGUGGGAAACGAUGUGGGAAGGCCCAGACAGCCAGGAUGUUGGCUUAGAAGCAGCCAUCAUUUAAAGAAAGCGUAAUAGCUCACUGGUCGAGUCGGCCUGCGCGGAAGAUGUAACGGGGCUAAACCAUGCACCGAAGCUGCGGCAGCGAACGUAUCACCCAAGACAACUUUACGGAGUUGACGAUUGACGGAGCGAAGCGACGUCAAAGCGUUCAUUAAAGUCGAGUUGGCUUAGGGAUACGUUCGUUGGGUAGGGGAGCGUUCUGUAAGCCUGUGAAGGUGUGUCGUGAGGCAUGCUGGAGGUAUCAGAAGUGCGAAUGCUGACAUAAGUAACGAUAAAGCGGGUGAAAAGCCCGCUCGCCGGAAGACCAAGGGUUCCUGUCCAACGUUAAUCGGGGCAGGGUGAGUCGACCCCUAAGGCGAGGCCGAAAGGCGUAGUCGAUGGGAAACGGGUUAAUAUUCCCGUACUUGGUGUUACUGCGAAGGGGGGACGGAGAAGGCUAUGUUGGCCGGGCGACGGUUGUCCCGGUUUAAGCGUGUAGGUGUGUGUUCCAGGUAAAUCCGGUUCACUUUAACACUGAGGCGUGACGACGAGGCACUACGGUGCUGAAGCAACAAAUGCCCUGCUUCCAGGAAAAGCCUCUAAGCAUCAGGUAACACGAAAUCGUACCCCAAACCGACACAGGUGGUCAGGUAGAGAAUACCAAGGCGCUUGAGAGAACUCGGGUGAAGGAACUAGGCAAAAUGGUGCCGUAACUUCGGGAGAAGGCACGCUGACACGUAGGUGAAGUGAUUUACUCAUGGAGCUGAAGUCAGUCGAAGAUACCAGCUGGCUGCAACUGUUUAUUAAAAACACAGCACUGUGCAAACACGAAAGUGGACGUAUACGGUGUGACGCCUGCCCGGUGCCGGAAGGUUAAUUGAUGGGGUCAGCGCAAGCGAAGCUCCUGAUCGAAGCCCCGGUAAACGGCGGCCGUAACUAUAACGGUCCUAAGGUAGCGAAAUUCCUUGUCGGGUAAGUUCCGACCUGCACGAAUGGCGUAAUGAUGGCCAGGCUGUCUCCACCCGAGACUCAGUGAAAUUGAACUCGCUGUGAAGAUGCAGUGUACCCGCGGCAAGACGGAAAGACCCCGUGAACCUUUACUAUAGCUUGACACUGAACAUUGAGCCUUGAUGUGUAGGAUAGGUGGGAGGCUUUGAAGUGUGGACGCCAGUCUGCAUGGAGCCGACCUUGAAAUACCACCCUUUAAUGUUU
rnacentral:rRNA from 1 species